rnacentral:rRNA from 1 species
UACGUAGGGGGCAAGCGUUGUCCGGAAUCCUUGGGCGUAAAGAGCGUGUAGGUGGCUCGGUAAGUCUGCUGUGAAAGUCCAGGGCUCAACCCUGGAAUGCCGGUGGAAACUGUCGAGCUAGAGUCCGGAAGAGGCGAGUGGAAUUCCUGGUGUAGCGGUGAAAUGCGCAGAUAUCAGGAGGAACACCAAUGGCGAAGGCAGCUCGCUGGGACGGUACUGACACUGAGACGCGAAAGCGUGGGGAGCAAACAGG